CAUCACUACGCUAGAUGCAUAUCAAUAAGCGGAGGAAAAGAAACUAACUAGGAUUCCCUUAGUAACGGCGAGUGAAGCGGGAAGAGCUCAAAUUUGAAAUCUUCAAGGUUUUACCUUGACGAAUUGUAGUUUAAAGAAGUGUUUUCUGUUGAAGUUUUGGUAAAAGUUCUUUGGAAUAGGACAUCAUAGAGGGUGAGAAUCCCGUAUUUGACCAUUAUUUUCAGCUGUGUGAUACACUUUCAAAGAGUCGGAUUGUUUGGGAAUGCAGUCCAAAAUGGGUGGUAAAUUUCAUCUAAAGCUAAAUAUUGGCGAGAGACCGAUAGCGAACAAGUACCGUGAGGGAAAGAUGAAAAGAACUUUGAAAAGAGAGUUAAACAGUACGUGAAAUUGUCAAAAGGGAAGCGUUCGACACCAGUGUUGUUUUCUCGAAAAUCAAUUAAAAAAGGCCGGAUUUUGUGUUGUAUUGACCUUAAAAGCUUUCUUCACUCUUUUCUUGUCUUUUUUAAUGCACUUUUCGUUUAACAAGUCAACAUCAGUUUCUUUUGUUGUAAAAGGGUCAUUGGAAGGUGGCUUUCUUUUCGGAGAAAGUGUUUAUAGCCUUUGAUCUCUGCAACCGGAGAGACUGAGGUCUGCAGCGUAGACUCUUCGGGGUUAGAUACAUUUGUGCUAAGCUAUAGCUUUUUAUAGACAACUUGUUGACUAUAUUUAGUCUUGUGGCUUACUCGCUUAUGCUAUUUUACCUACGCUUAGGAUGUUGAUAUGCAUGACUGAUAU
rnacentral:rRNA from 1 species